GAGUUUGAUCAUGGCUCAGAUUGAACGCUGGCGGCAGGCCUAACACAUGCAAGUCGAACGGUAACAGGAAGAAGCUUGCUUCUUUGCUGACGAGUGGCGGACGGGUGAGUAAUGUCUGGGAAACUGCCUGAUGGAGGGGGAUAACUACUGGAAACGGUAGCUAAUACCGCAUAACGUCGCAAGACCAAAGAGGGGGACCUUCGGGCCUCUUGCCAUCGGAUGUGCCCAGAUGGGAUUAGCUAGUAGGUGGGGUAACGGCUCACCUAGGCGACAUCCCUAGCUGGUCUGAGAGGAUGACCAGCCACACUGGAACUGAGACACGGUCCAGACUCCUACGGGAGGCAGCAGUGGGGAAUAUUGCACAAUGGGCGCAAGCCUGAUGCAGCCAUGCCGCGUGUAUGAAGAAGGCCUUCGGGUUGUAAAGUACUUUCAGCGGGGAGGAAGGGAGUAAAGUUAAUACCUUUGCUCAUUGACGUUACCCGCAGAAGAAGCACCGGCUAACUCCGUGCCAGCAGCCGCGGUAAUACGGAGGGUGCAAGCGUUAAUCGGAAUUACUGGGCGUAAAGCGCACGCAGGCGGUUUGUUAAGUCAGAUGUGAAAUCCCCGGGCUCAACCUGGGAACUGCAUCUGAUACUGGCAAGCUUGAGUCUCGUAGAGGGGGGUAGAAUUCCAGGUGUAGCGGUGAAAUGCGUAGAGAUCUGGAGGAAUACCGGUGGCGAAGGCGGCCCCCUGGACGAAGACUGACGCUCAGGUGCGAAAGCGUGGGGAGCAAACAGGAUUAGAUACCCUGGUAGUCCACGCCGUAAACGAUGUCGACUUGGAGGUUGUGCCCUUGAGGCGUGGCUUCCGGAGCUAACGCGUUAAGUCGACCGCCUGGGGAGUACGGCCGCAAGGUUAAAACUCAAAUGAAUUGACGGGGGCCCGCACAAGCGGUGGAGCAUGUGGUUUAAUUCGAUGCAACGCGAAGAACCUUACCUGGUCUUGACAUCCACAGAACUUUCCAGAGAUGGAUUGGUGCCUUCGGGAACUGUGAGACAGGUGCUGCAUGGCUGUCGUCAGCUCGUGUUGUGAAAUGUUGGGUUAAGUCCCGCAACGAGCGCAACCCUUAUCUUUUGUUGCCAGCGGUCCGGCCGGGAACUCAAAGGAGACUGCCAGUGAUAAACUGGAGGAAGGUGGGGAUGACGUCAAGUCAUCAUGUCCCUUACGACCAGGGCUACACACGUGCUACAAUGGCGCAUACAAAGAGAAGCGACCUCGCGAGAGCAAGCGGACCUCAUAAAGUGCGUCGUAGUCCGGAUUGGAGUCUGCAACUCGACUCCAUGAAGUCGGAAUCGCUAGUAAUCGUGGAUCAGAAUGCCACGGUGAAUACGUUCCCGGGCCUUGUACACACCGCCCGUCACACCAUGGGAGUGGGUUGCAAAAGAAGUAGGUAGCUUAACCUUCGGGAGGGCGCUUACCACUUUGUGAUUCAUGACUGGGGUGAAGUCGUAACAAGGUAACCGUAGGGGACCUGCGGUUG
rnacentral:rRNA from 1 species